rnacentral:rRNA from 1 species
UACAGAGGGGGCAAGCGUUGUUCGGAAUUACUGGGCGUAAAGGGCGCGUAGGCGGCCUGCUAAGUCGAACGUGAAAUCCCCGAGCUCAACUCGGGAACUGCGUCCGAUACUGGCAGGCUUGAAUCCGGGAGAGGGAUGCGGAAUUCCAGGUGUAGCGGUGAAAUGCGUAGAUAUCUGGAGGAACACCGGUGGCGAAGGCGGCAUCCUGGACCGGCAUUGACGCUGAGGAGCGAAAGCGUGGGGAGCGAACAGG